ensembl:lncRNA
AUGGCGCUGCAGACGGCUGCUUUAGUGCUUAGGUCUCCAGUAUUUGUACUGUUUUUGUUCGUUUUUCCUGUUUUUUGUUUGUCAAACACGAUUAGUUUCACUAGGGAUGAACUGCUGAACAUUCGGCAGAACACACCACAAAAUCUUUUACCGGAUUUCAAUUAUUCGGACGUUUUACUGAACGUUGUUGUUGGUGGAGCAGCGGCGCUGAUCAAAUGCUUCAAAAAGCGCAGAUGGGGAAAGCGAGCUGGUACGCUCGUUAGACUCAGGAAGCGUGGAUUUCGAACGCCGUUGCCUAGCAUCCAUCUGGCAAAUCUCUGCUCUCUACCCAACAAAAUGGACGAAAUCCUUCUGCUUUCCUGGACAGAUAAGGAUUUCUCACACUCUGCUGCUCUGUGUUUCACGGAAACCUGGCUGAAUGACGCCAUACCGGACAGUGCGCUCCAUCUGCCGGGCUUUCAGCUGUUCAGAGCGGACCGUGAUGGAGAAUCAACGGGGAAAUCGCGGGGCGGCGGGACAUGCUUUUAUAUCAAUGAACGGUGGUGCACAGAUGUAACUGUGUUAAAGAAGAUUUGCUGUUCAGAUCUAGAAGUGCUUUUUGUCAACUGCAAGCCGUUCUGGCAGUUCACGGGAGAGAUUUGCUUUAUCAAAGUCCCCAAGAAUGAUUAAAACAGAGUCCGAGUGUUGUUGUUCUGUCUCUGUGAUCUGAUCAGUGAGUUUCUGUAAAGCUGAGCUUGCGUUGGGAUGUAAAUACUCACAAGAAUGAACGAGUGAAACUCCCGGGGCAAAUAGAACAGCUUGUAGUUAAUGAAGAGUGUUUCUAGAUCUGAACAGCACAUCUUCUUUAACACUGUUACAUUUGUACACCACCUUUCGUUGAUGUAAAAGCAUGUCUCACCACCGUGCGAUUUCCCCAUUGACUCUGUGGAGAGGUCCGCUCUGAACAGCUGAAAGCCCGGCAGAUGGAGCGCGCUGUCUGGAAUGGCGUCAUUUAGCCAAGUUUCUGUGAAACACAGAGCAGCAGAGUGUGAGAAAUCCUCAUUAGUCCGGGAGAGCAGAAGGAGUUUGUCCGUUUUGUUGGGUAGAGAGCAGAGGUUCGCCAGAUGGAUGCUAGGCAACGGCGUUCGAAAUCCGCGCUUUCUGAGCUUCAUGAGGGCGCUGGCUCUCUUCCCUCAUCUGCGUGUCCUGAAGCGCAUGAUCAGCCCAGCUGCUCCGCCGACAAAAAUGUCCGGCAAAACGUCAGAGUAGUCGAAAACCAGUAAUAUAUCAGGUGAUGUGUUGUGCCGAAUGUCCAGCAAUUUGUCUCUGGUGAAACUGAUUGCAGGAAUAUAACUAAAGACAGAACAAACUAACAAAAACACAAAAACAACUGCAGAGCAUGUCACGGAGGCCGCCAUCUUCAUCGGUGCCAGUUUACGAUGUUAGCAUAGCUUUUGUGGCACGCUCCAGCUUUUUUUCAACAAUUAUGGUGCCACAGGGUUGUGACGUGUUCAGGUUGUGGCGUUUUCCAUGGACCCCAUAUGUCGUUCGACAUAACUUGUAGUGACCGAUAGAUAGUGAAAGUCUUGGUUAAGUACACAACUCUCGUUCCCUGAUGGAGGGAAUGGGGACAUUAUGUCCCCAUGCCACAACCUUGAACUAUUCGCUGUUGCUGGUACACGUUCUUGGAUCCUCAGCGUAAAACCUAAUGAGUGGAUGUGCGCUGUUGCCUUAUAUACCCAUAGGCACAGGGAAUGGCUCAGCAUGCAAAGUCCACUAGCCAAUGUUCAUUGGCAUUUUCUCUUAAACUCAGAGAUGAUUGGCCUCCCAAGUGAGACCCCAUAUGUCAUUUGACAUAAUGUUCCCUCCAUCAGGGAACGAGGGUUACGUACCUAACUGAGAUGUUUCCUUUCCUACACUACACUAUAAACAACAACAAAAGACAAAAAAAAAAAACACA